GGCCACUCUCCCAGUACUCUACGGGCAUGAAGAUAUUUAUUUCUUCUUAGUGGGGGCUAAAGGUCAAGAUCAGCCCUUGAAAAUAAUUGACAGAAUUGCCAUGCACCUGGUACCUGGUAGCCUUGUUUUCUUGCCUCACACAAUU